rnacentral:tRNA from 1 species
GCAAGAGGGCCUAUAGCUCAGCUGGUUAGAGUGCACCCCUGAUAAGGGUGAGGUCACAAGUUCAAGUCUUGUUA